ensembl:lncRNA
ACUGAUUACCAUACCAAGAUCAAGACACAGGCAGGUCUGUGCUCUUGCUUAACAACUGCUUAUUCACUCCGCUGGCAAGAGAGAAAGGACCAUUUCCUGUCUAUGACUGCUGAAGACCAGGCAGGAGGGGAGAUCUGGCCCCUGUUUUCAUUGCAGGAUUAUUGGAAAGGCUGAGCCUCUCUCCACCCAAGUGGUCCAUUCAUUCAUCCAACAGAUAUUUACUGAGUGUCUUCAUGUCUCAGAGGGCCAGUUUAAAACUUUGUGUGAGAAAAUCAAGGAUCAUCUGAUGCCAAAUAUAUUCCUCCUGGCUCUCGUUCUAGAGCAGCUGCUCUAGCUCCUGAUGAUCAGAAUGAUCAGGAUGGAAUGAGAAGAAAGUCACCAGUUCUAUGCUUCAUCAUAUAAUCAUGCACUGACAUCCAUUCUUAACACAUUUGCCCAUCUC